AGGUAAUGGCAGCAUUUUUUUCUUGCUUCCAGAUCUUGACCUUGACUUCUUUUGCUUACAGUCCAAAGCUGACUGCAUAGUCAAGUCCAUUUUUUGUGGCUGAUACAUCAAUGGACUGUCUUCAUUUAAUGGAAGAACACAUUUCUGAACAAACCUCUUUCUCGCAGUUUGAUUAUGAAUCUUUUGAGAAGAAAUACCAGGAC
rnacentral:lncRNA from 1 species